rnacentral:rRNA from 1 species
GUCCGGAAUUAUUGGGCGUAAAGGGCUCGUAGGCGGUUUGUCGCGUCGGGAGUGAAAACUCAGGGCUUAACCCUGAGCCUGCUUCCGAUACGGGCAGACUAGAGGUAUGCAGGGGAGAACGGAAUUCCUGGUGUAGCGGUGAAAUGCGCAGAUAUCAGGAGGAACACCGGUGGCGAAGGCGGUUCUCUGGGCAUUACCUGACGCUGAGGAGCGAAAGUGUGGGGAGCGAACAGG